rnacentral:rRNA from 1 species
UACAGGGGGGGCAAGCGUCGUUCGGAAUUACUGGGCGUAAAGGGCUCGUAGGUGGCCAACUAAGUCAGACGUGAAAUCCCUCGAGUCUAACUGGGGAACUGCGUCUGAUACUGGAUGGCUUGAGUUUGGGAGAGGGAUGCGGAAUUCCAGGUGUAGCGGUGAAAUGCGUAGAUAUCGGGAGGAACACCAGUAGCGAAGGCGACACUCUGGGCCGGUACUGACGCUGAGGAGCGAAAGCGUGGGGAGCAAACAGG